rnacentral:lncRNA from 1 species
UUUUUUUUUUUUUUUUUCCUACUUUAGUUUUUCCUUCUGGUCCAGUUCGCCCACAUCUUCAAGAGGACACACUAGUAAAGGGUGAACUCCCCAAGUGCUGUGUGUUCUUAGGCAAGCUGCUUAACGUCUCUGUUUCUUCUUGGAAAUGCGAUCAUACUACCUGGUCUAGCCAAGUGGACUGACAUAAGGCUUGAAGCCCAUUUGUAUACGCACAUCCUUAAGUGCUCCAACUGUUUGACUUCACGGCAGGUCCACCAUAUCUCCAGCUUUUUCUUCCACAUGAAGCUACUUCACCAAUAUGCUCAUGGACACUUUGUAUUUUAAAGCCAUCUUUCUUGCUGGCCCCCUUACAGAGGAGUCGGCAGUUAUCAAUAGGCAGGACUCAAGCCUCUUUUCACCAUUAGGGUAUUUUGCACAUCCCUUCACAGGUUGUAGCUAAAAGAAUAAAAAUUAGAUUGAAAUAUUAAAUAACCUGGCUAGCCAGAGACAUUUUGCCAGAUGCCGGCACUUGUGUCCUAGAUAGUGAAAAGACCACUACAAUAAUGAGAAGCAAUGUUGGAUUUAAAAAAAAAAAAGGGGGCAGCCUUUGGAACAGGGUAAAUGGGACUCAAAUCCGUGUAGUAGCUAACGAUACUUGGGCUUCAAUUUAGGAGCUUCACUUGCCUCCUCCGUAAAAUGGGCCCAUUUGCAACAACCUCCAGACCUCCUGAAAGCAUUGAGUCCUUGAAAAAAACCGGUUAUAAGGUUCUCAGCACAGGGCCUGGCUGUGAUCCCUUGGAUGAAUGCAGGAGGCAUCCCGGAAUGCUAUGCAGAGUCAUAAUAAUAAUACCCAAAUAACAAUAAAACUAAACCUUCAUAUUUCUAUCCUUCCCAAUAUUUUGGGUCCCGGAUAAACUAGUCUAGUAAUGCGACAUAUGCAAAACACCAAGGUUAGCGGUCCUGUCGGCACCUUCCUCCCCACCCUGCCCCCAAACCACAAAUCCUCCGCCAUAUACAAAAUCCUUUCUCUAUUUAGGACUCGGUGGAAGCUUCGAGAACAGGACAGGGAUUGCUGGGACCUGGCCUCCACCCGCAACAAACGAGGUUGUACUUAACGAAUCCCUGGUGGCGGGGAUUUGACAUUCUGGAUCUGAUGCAUCUGCCAGCCUCCGUCCCUGGUUCACACGCCCCUGAGGAUGCACUUUUUGCAUUGACUGUGUUUCUUUCGAUGCCAACCUAGACACCUCUCAAUAAAUUUCUGUUUGCCUGGGAGCUGACGGGCACAGAAAGCUAGAUUCAAUUUGUGCCGAUUUAUGAGGCACACGCACGGCCAUCCUGGAAACUUUCCUGGGGCUCACUUUAUAAAUUAACCCCUUAUUUAAAUAUUCUGCAGACUUAGCACCGGCCAGUGUUUGGGGGGCGGGAGGCACUGUCUCACAUCAGCCUUCUGGGUCUCUUGGUGUUUGCUGCCAUGACACCUGGGCCCUGCUCUGCACAGACAAUGCUGAUUUGCAAGAUUUAUGGGAGGAGGGGAGUGCCUGCGUCUCUUUGUCAUUCAGGCCACAGCAGCCCUGGUGGCACUGGGCUCCAAAGCAGGAACUUCAAGACCUCCGUAACUCAGGCACACGAGCAGCAUUUGGACUCGACGGAGCGUGGCUUCAUUCAUUCACUCAUUCACUGAUUCACCUAAAAUGUUUGGCAAAAACCAACAGGAUUCAAAACAGAGAAAAACACAAUACUUGGUCUCAAAGAAUGUAUAUUCUGCCUGUAGGUUCUCGUGGGAAGAGCAUGACAUUUAUGAGCCAGCAGACCCUGGCUGGAGGGUUCCCUCUGCCACUCGGGAGCUGUGUGAUUCUGGGUAACUUACUGGUCCUCUUAAGCCUCGGUGUCCUCAUCUGGGAAAUGGGUACCAUCCCACUCAGUUUCACAGAGGACGCAUUGAGGAAACACUACUCGCUGAACUGCUGUGCAAACCUGAAGCACCACACAAGCGAUCAAGAUUCUCAGACACGUGUCGGCAACACACAGGAGGAAGGAACGUGUGUCCAGUAAAGGAACCAAAGAGCAGUCACAGAAAACGAGACCCUGCCGCGGAGAGCCUAGCGGGGUCACAGUAACUAGGGGGUCCUCGCUGCGCUUUGUGGGUACUGUGACCCGAUUUUCUUUCCUCGUGGUUAAGAAGAAUGAGGAGGAGGAAAAGGAGGCGGAGGAACGAGACGGGGAUGGACAGGCUGUUGUCAAGAGAGGCGCGUGUCUGUAGUGGAGGAAGGAGAGUGUGAGACGGGCAUAAAAAGACGGAGGGAGAGAGAAGGCUGAGCCCGGUCGCUUUGCUUUCCUCGAUCCCAGCGACGCCCAGCUAAAGACACUGAGGGGAGGACCCACCACACUGUCCAAAGCACUGAUUCUUCAAGGCAAGUGUCCUACUCUCAGCGGCGGCGGGGAGGAGGGGGGCAAAAUAAAACCGGCGAUCUCAAAAGCCCCUGCCGUGCCGGCUGUAGCUGGAUGGAAUCCGCCUUUGGAGACCUCCGCUGACGGGAUGUGCGGGACGGCGUGCAGGGUCCCCUCUCGGGGGUCAUCUCCGCCGCUGACCCGCUGGCCUCUGCAACCUCGCUGUGACAGAUGGCACCCUUUAGGGUGUUCGCUCUCCCAUCACGACCCCGCCCGAAAAGGCGGCGACUGUCCUGACGCAGAGGGAAGGGAUGGCUGCAUUUUCCAUGCUUCACGCCUUUGUCCGGGGCAGGACCAGGGAGCCUCCACGCGCACCUGAGAGGCAGCAGAGGGAAGUGGCAGAUGGCCGGGACUUCCACCCAUGAUUACAACCUCCUUCCAGUGGGGCCAGUGCCGUCUUCAGUGGCCCUGGUCUGAUGACUGGAAGUGCCUGAUGUCCCAGACCAGGGUCUAAACGGCCUGAGAACUCCCUCUGGCACGCUCUCUGGGAUCGCUCGCUGGCCACCAGCCAGACUCUGUGGAUGCCCGAGCAGCACCGUGGAAAGGCCCACGUGGUGAAGAACUGAGUCCUCCCGCCCAAAGCCACGUGCGUGCGCUAUUUUGGGUCUGAAACUUCCAGCCCAUUAACCCUUGAGAGACCAGAGCCCCUGCCAAUGGCUCCACUACAACUUCACUAGAGACUCCAAGGCAGAGCCACCUAGCUAAACGACUCUCUGAUUUCUGACCCAUAGAAAAUAGAAGAUAUUUGCUUAUUGUUUUAAACCCGGAAGCUUUGGGGUAACUUACUAGGCAGCAAUAGAUAACUGCUACAAAGACUCAGGAAGGAGUACAUGAAUCUGGGAAAAAGAGAUACAAGCAACCUUGGAGUUCCCGUUAUGGUUCAGCAUGUUAAGAACCUGACUAGUAUCCAGGAAGAUGGGGGUUCGAUCCCUGGCCUCACUCAGUGGGUUAAGGAUGGAGCAUUGUGGUGGCUGUGGUGUAGACCGGCAGCUACAGCUCUGAUUCUACCCCUAACCAGGUAACUUCCAUAGGCUGCAGGUGUGCCCCUAGAAGAGAAAAAAAACAAAGAUGAAAAGAGAUACAAACAACCCAACCGGCUAUCACUACGAGCAAGAUAAGAAGGGGGCUAUUCAAGAAACAAAAGUUACAUGGGGACCAACGAUGUUCGAACCUGCCAAGCGUGAUUUUCUCUCCGUAGCAGGUCCUGUAUCAACUAGGAGAUUCCAUUCUAGGGCUUGGAAAGGAGUGCAUCAGACACGUGCUCAUUAAAAGCUUCUGGGUGUAAUAUUAGUAAUUGCUAUUUUUGCUGGUAUACAACGAGCACUUGCAUCCAGGGAUUAUGCUUUAUGCUGUUUAAAAUUUUUCUUUUUGGAUCCUUUCAAUGCUCCUAAAAAUGGAGAUAGCGGAGUUCCCGUCGUGGCGCAGUGGUUAACGAAUCUGACUAGGAACCGUGAGGUUACAGGUUCAAUCCCUGGCCUUGCUCAGUGAGUUAAGGAUCCGGUGUUGCCGUGAGCUGUGGUGUGGGUCGCAGAGGCGGCUCAGAUCCCACGUUGCUGUGGCUCUGGCAUAGGCUGGUGGCUGCAGCUCCUAUUCGACCCCUAGCCUGGGAACCUCCAUGUGUCACAGGUGCAGCUGUAAAAAGCAAAAAUGGGGCGGGGGGGGAAUCAGCUGGCUUUGGCGUCCCUUGGGCUGUAGUUUGCUGACCCUUUUGCUUUAGAUCAACUUUCCUCAAGGUGUCAUCCACGCAUCACUGGCAGCAGGAACUCCUGCACUGCUUGGUAAACAUGCAGACCCCUGGGUCUCAUCCUGGAUCAGCUAUAUUUUAUACCUUUUUUUUGGCUGCACUUGUGUCAUGUGGACGUUCCCAGGCCAGGGAUCAAACCUGCAUCGUGGCAGUGACCAGAGCCACGGCAGUGACAAUGCAGGCUCCUUAACAGCUCAGCCACCAGGGAACUCCUGGCAGCCCCUUUAAGAUGAGGUCUGAGAGCUGGUCCCCCAAGAUCCUGAAGCAGGUGAAGUUGGAGAACCUGUCUUCUAGUCUGACUUAGAACCUGUGACCCUUUGCCAGACCCAGAAAUAAAACAGAGGAGGAGGAGGGUGUGAAAUGAAGCGGGCUUUCCCGGGGCUACAUUCUCCUCCUGGACUCCUAACUGGCCUGAGCAAGCGUCCAGUGCUCCCAGGACACUAUCGCCGUCCUGGAUAAGUCACUCACGUCACUCACCACUCAGGACAGAAGCGAGCCUUCUCGCUCCUCCCUCGGGCUCAGAGCUCAGUGUAUGGACAAACAGAAACAGGCCCUGGGGCUUGCAGGACAGGGGACUCAGGGAACAAAUCUAAAAGAAGAGACGUGGUCGCGGGAGGCUUUGGGGUCAGAGAAGCAGGGAGAGGGGGCGGCCGAUGCUCAGAAAGGUGGAACAAUUGCUCAGCCAGACAGAUGAGCCUGAUCUUUCGAAGUAACCCGCGCUAUGGAACAGGUGCUGGGCACUGCUCCGAGCGCAUCACUGGUACUAACUUGUUUCCAUGGCCCUGGCAUCACAAGAGGUGGGUUCUGCUACAGUCCCCAUAUCUAAGAUGAGAAAACAGGUGCCCAGAAAGGCUGAGUACCUUUCCCAAGGUCACAGAGAACAGAGCUCUCAGGCCAGCGGCUCCACUGCAGAACCCACAGGAUGCUGGCUCCUGCACCGUACAUACUUCUCACAAAAGCACAGCUAGCGGGAAUCCAGGGGGCCCUGCGUCAGCUGGGAUGCGAGAUCACUGUCAGAAAACUGUCCCUGAUCCCCUGCCUUAGUAUCAGAAAGUCCAGAGCCUCACUCUCUGCUCCGUUUUAUCUCCCAACGAGCAAGCUGGGCCCUGGCUCCACCGAGCUCCAGGCCCACUCCUGUGCCUUCCUGAAGACCUGCAGAAGCUGCCCUCCAGCCUCUGGGAUCAGGCCACACUCUCCUGUGCCGACCCUUUGGGGCUCCUGCAAGCCUGGGGUAGCGUGGCAGGAACCAAGGGGUUACAUUCCAGCUUUGCAAUUCACAGCUGUGCAGCUCUGGCACCUUCCUUACCCUCUCGGGCUCUUGAUUUCCCUCCUCUAUGAAAUGGGGAGAACCGGGUCCAGAUGUCAGGAUUAACGAGACGUAUGAGUACAGGAGGCAGACAAAGCUGCUCGAAGGACAGAGGCAGGGUCACCUCCACCACGUGGCUUCAGAUCCUGCUCUGAGGCCCAAACGGCUCAUUUGUAAAAUAGAAAUAAUAACAGUACCCACAUUACAGGCUUGGGGGAUGAGAGACAGUGACGGGAGAAGCAGUAUUAUUAUGGCAUGUUAGUAAUAAAAGAUCACUGGCACACAAUUACCGCGAACAGUAACAAUAGCAAAUAACCAACUUAAGAAAUAGAGUGAGGAGUUCCCGUUGUGGCACAGCGGAAGCAAAUCUGACUAGGAAUCAUGAAGUUGAAGGUUCGAUCCCUGGCCUCGCUCAGUGGGUUAAGGACCUGGUGUUGCUGUCAGCUGUGGUGUAGGUCGCAGACGCGACUCGGAUCUGGCAUGGCUGUGGCUGCGGUGUAGGGUGGCAUCUACAGCUCUGAUUUGACUCCUAGCCUGGGAACCUCCAUAUGCCGUGUGUGCGGCCCUAAAUAGACAAAAAAGACAAAAAAAAAAA